rnacentral:rRNA from 1 species
AUGGCUCACCUACCGCUCUACUUCCUGGCUGGCAGCACGGCGAACGGUAGAAUAUGCAUGCGUCGUCCACGCCGUGGGGUGAGGUACCGUGCACUGCACUGUACUGCUGGCAUCGCAUUGCCAAGGGGAAGCGUACGCCGAGCAGGACACGGGCGCCGCGGCGGGUCCAGAGGAGUUGGUGGCGGCCAGGAGAGCGCUGAGUCACUGAGCAUCGACCAGCGCCAACAUCUCGGCGAUCUCGGGCAGGGGCGCACAUGGAGAUGGGGUGACCCCCUCCUCACCGGUGGAGCUCGCAUGGGCUGGGGAAUGGGCGCCGCUGUGCUGUGGGCGCGGCGGGAACAGUUCAAAGGCGCCACCCACGGGUGCUGGACGGGACCAGCGGCGCCCCACCGCCGGUCUCCCGGGUAA